rnacentral:sRNA from 1 species
CAAGACCUAAAAAUUCCAAUUAUACCGAACUCCAAUUGCAGAUAUUAAUACAAAUAAAACAAGAUGAACAUCGAUGACAUUCUCGCCUCCGUUGAUCAGCCGGACCUUUCAUCUCCUGAGGCCACUGUACUCGAUGCGCAGCUACUAACACGGCUUUGGGUUACAGAGAGGGGCGUGCCGGAGCUACUGCCGUGGCCCGGCGCGCUGAUGGAGAGGGUUAUGGAGAGGGUUCGGAAGCAGGUCGAAAAAAUUGAGGACCUCACCGCCGCGGCCUCCGAUCCCUCAACAAGCAAAAAUCCAAACACAAACCUCAAGCUCUCCAUCCUUCAAACAGACCUUUCGCGCACCCAAUAUGUAAUUCGCUCCUUGCUACGCCAACGCCUCUCAAAACUCACGAAGCACAGUUUGCACUACCUGCUCCUCUCGUCCCCACCUCCCUCCUCGUCCUCACCCUCCUCACAAUCUCACCACCAACAGCAAUCCUCCCAAGCAACCUUCAACACCCCCACCCCAACGCAUCCCCCUUCAGCCACAAACGCCUAUAAAUCAUCCACAAACGCAUCCACAGGAAAACAGCCCCUCCUUUCCCCACAAGAGUCCGCAUUCCUCCACACCCAUCAAUCCCUCCUAACAGCACACUACAACAGCUCUUUCCUCUCGACCUUCCCCUCACAGCUGCGACGAUUAGACGACAAUGCGGGCGGGACAAGUAUGAUUCAAGGCCCCGAGACGAAGGAGGUGGUGUUUGUGCGCUGUUUGGUGGAGGAGGUGAGAAUUGUUAUCCCCGCUGGCGCGGGUGAUGAGAUGGGGGCCGACGGGGAUAUUUAUGGUCGC